GCCGACAUAGCUCAGUGGUAGAGCGGCUGUUUUGUAAACAGCGGGUCGCGGGUUCGAGUCCUGUUGUCGGCUCCA
rnacentral:tRNA from 1 species